AAGUCGUAACAAGGUUUCCGUAGGUGAACCUGCGGAGGGAUCAUUACCGAGUUUACAACUCCCAAACCCCUGUGAACAUACCACUUGUUGCCUCGGCGGAUCAGCCCGCUCCCGGUAAAUCAUUGUCGAACAGUAUUGAUUCGGGACUUCUGACAAAUGAGAAGUUACAGUUACGAUUGAGCGGAGAUAGCUGCAUGGCAUCCCGAAGCAGUCAGUGUCUGAAAGUGUCAUUGAUUGUCUAAGGAUCUCGCCUCAACGAUUGCCAGAGGUCGCUCACCGACCGGCAGACAUGCAACCGGGUCCCCACGCCCCUUUACAACCCCAUUACCUCUGUGAGUCGCGGGAAACUAGCGGCUAAAAAACCUCGAACAACUGUUAACAAUGGAUAUCUUGGUUCUC
rnacentral:misc_RNA from 1 species